rnacentral:rRNA from 1 species
GACAAACGCUAACGGUGUGCUUAACACAUGCAAGUCGAACGGGCGAUACAGGAGUGGCAACACACUUGUAAAGCUAGUGGCGAACGGGUGAGUAACGCGUAGGCAAUCUGCCUUGGAGAUUGGGACAACCAUUCGAAAGAAUGGCUAAUACCAAAUACCUUGUAUUAAUCGCAUGAUUUUUAUAAUAAAGGGGGCUUCGGCUCUCGCUUCAAGAUGAGCCUGCGUCCUAUUAGCUAGUUGGUGAGGUAACGGCUCACCAAGGCAACGAUGGGUAGCCGGCCUGAGAGGGUGAUCGGCCACAUUGGGACUGAGAUACGGCCCAGACUCCUACGGGAGGCAGCAGUGGGGAAUAUUGCGCAAUGGGCGAAAGCUUGACGCAGCGACACCGUGUGAAGGAUGAAGGCCUUCGGGUCGUAAACUUCUGUCAAUUGGGGACGAAGGUGCUAGAGUUAAUACCUUCUAGCAUUGACGGUACCCAAUAAGGAAGUCUCGGCUAACUCCGUGCCAGCAGCCGCGGUAAGACGGAGGAGGCAAGCGUUGUCCGGAAUCAUUGGGCGUAAAGAGCGCGUAGGCUGUCUUUCAAGUCAUAUGUGAAAACCUCAGGCUUAACUUGAGAAUUGCAUAUGAAACUGGAAGACUUGAGUGCAGUAGGGGAA